rnacentral:lncRNA from 1 species
AGCAACAAUAGGUCCCUGGUCCUGAAUUCAACUUCCAGAGAAGCACAUAAGAUCUUUAGUCAUGAGACUUUAGUUCUUUCUAUUCGUUUCAGAUCCCUGUCCAUGUCAGUAGGGUUCUAUUACAACAAGGGGCUUUAUUACAUCUUAUCCAACUGUUGGCAAGCCCUGCAUCUUAAACAGCACUGUUUUGUAAUAUAAAGAUGAGAGUGCUUCAUGGCAUCCUGAGAAGGGAAAGAGAAGGAAAUAUGUCAUCAUGAAAAGGCUUUCAAAACCUUCUCUGGCUGGACAGUUUCUUCUUCACAACGAUAACAUGGCCAUGUCUCUAUCAAUUAGAUUCUGUCCGUGUCUUCCAGUGUCACCUCUACAGGAGAAUGUAAACAGACAGGGAGAAGCUCCUCACACAGGGAUGUGGAUAUAG